AAGACAGCCAUGCUAGUCCUCAGCCCCCUGGCAUUCAUACUGGGAUUAAUAAUACUCACCUUGAAUGUUCAUUACAACAAGAAGAAGAAAAUCCUGGCUGCUUUGAAGAGCUCCCCAGAGAGCAGCAGCAGAGCUGACUUGCAGGCACAGUCUCCCUUAUGCAGAGGUGCCCAACCACAAACUCCACCGUCUCGCUCCCCUUCCUUGAGGCACGGGGAGAUCCUCAUCGAGUGGAAAGACGGGACCGUCACUCCUCUUUUUGAUAACACCAAUCAUCAAAUGGACUAGCUCUGCGCCUUGGAUGAUGUUACCAUCUUUCCAAACAGGAGUGCUUCCUUAGAGGAUUUUCUCCAUGGCAUUACCAUUUGUGAUUGGGAGUUGCAAAGGCUGUUUGUUUUUUUUUAACACUUGAGAAAAAUCUCCUUGUGUGGCACAAAAGCAGAAUGGCUUGUUUUAUUUGCAUAGGCAUUCACUGCUUGGCUCUUUUGGAGCUAGUUUAACCCAUGACAAGAUGCAGAUUUAGCUAAAUGAAGCUCGGUAUCACCUCAGCUGCAACUGCGCAGUCCUGAACGCUAGUGUUACUGAGUAUGCAAGAAAGUAAUUCCCCUGAGAUGAGGAAUAAGGUGAAAGCACAAUUCCCAAUGGAUCUGAAAUCCUUUCUAGCUUAAAACAAGCAGCCAGACCUAGAAAUUUGGCAGAGAUUUCUAGGUGAGAGAAUGCACUGGGUAAGCACCGACUUCAGGACUCAAAGGUGAAAGGGUCUC